GGAUUAGAUACCCUGGUAGUCCACGCCGUAGACGAUGUCUGCUAGACGUCAGGGGGCGUAGCCCUUUGGUGUCGCAGCUAACGCAUUAAGCAGACCGCCUGGGGAGUACGGCCGCAAGGUUAAAACUCAAAGGAAUUGACGGGGGCCCGCACAAGCGGUGGAGCAUGUGGUUUAAUUCGAAGAUACGCGAGGAACCUUACCUGGGCUCGAAUGGCUAUGGACGGAUCCAGAAAUGGGUCUUUCUUCGGACCAUAGUCAAGGUGCUGCAUGGCUGUCGUCAGCUCGUGCCG
rnacentral:rRNA from 1 species